UGCACGAAAAGGGUGUAUUAUCGGCUAUGAGAUGGAAUACCUUAUUCGCUUUGACAUUCCAUUAAGAAAGACAUUGCUUUGUUUCCAGGACAUCAUUAAUGGAUGAUAACAAUCCUUAAACUGGAAACAUUUUAUUCAAAUGGUAACUUGAACGGGCAGUUAGAUAGGCUAUGUACAGAAUAAUGGUGAAAACUAACAAUUGGCAAUCGACUUCCAAGUAAAUGAUAAUGCCUUUGCUUCCAUUUUUGACCUAUUUACAGGUUCUAACAGAAUACUGAUAGAAGAACAUGUCAAGUCUUAGUUAACUCAUCAGGUGCUGUGCUAUUAGAUUGCAGCUCAGACUCAAUUCUGUAAUGUCGCCAACCAGGAAUCAACCUGCAAAAGGAAGCAUUCAGGUAGAUGAUAAAAUGAGUAUGAAUCUAUAAAUCAGAUUUUGGUUGUUAGUAUACUAAACAACAACAACAACAACCCAGUAUAAUCCCACUAGUGGGGUCUGGGGAGGGUAGUGUGUACACAGACCUUACCCCUACCCUGGGGUAGAGGCUGUUUCCGAUAGACCCUCGGCUCCCUCCCUCCAAGAACUCCCCACCUUGCUCUUGGGGUGACUCGAACUCACAAUCUCUUGGUUGUUAGUAUACUGUAUUUGUAAAAUAAUUCUGGAGAAGAAAAACAACGUAUAAACAGAAAUGUAGAAGUAGAAAUUAAUCCGAGUCCACUGAAUUC
rnacentral:lncRNA from 1 species